UACGUAGGGUGCAAGCGUUUGUCCGGAAUUAUUGGGCGUAAAGGGCUCGUAGGCGGUUUGUCGCGUCGGGAGUGAAAACUCAGGGCUUAACCCUGAGCCUGCUUCCGAUACGGGCAGACUAGAGGUAUGCAGGGGAGAAUGGAAUUCCUGGUGUAGCGGUGAAAUGCGCAGAUAUCAGGAGGAACACCGGUGGCGAAGGCGGUUCUCUGGGCAUUACCUGACGCUGAGGAGCGAAAGCGUGGGGAGCAAACAGG
rnacentral:rRNA from 1 species